UACGUAGGGAGCAAGCGUUGUCCGGAAUCAUUGGGCGUAAAGCGCGUGUAGGCGGCCCGGUAAGUCCGCUGUGAAAGUCGGGGGCUCAACCCUCGAAUGCCGGUGGAUACUGUCGGGCUAGAGUGCGGAAGAGGCGAGUGGAAUUCCUGGUGUAGCGGUGGAAUGCGCAGAUAUCAGGAGGAACACCAGUAGCGAAGGCAGCUUGCUGGGACGGUACUGACGCUAAGGCGCGAAAGCGUGGGGAGCGAACAGG
rnacentral:rRNA from 1 species